GAUGAACGCUGGCGGCGUGCCUAAUACAUGCAAGUCGAGCGAACAGACGAGGAGCUUGCUCCUCUGACGUUAGCGGCGGACGGGUGAGUAACACGUGGAUAACCUACCUAUAAGACUGGGAUAACUUCGGGAAACCGGAGCUAAUACCGGAUAAUAUAUUGAACCGCAUGGUUCAAUAGUGAAAGACGGUUUUGCUGUCACUUAUAGAUGGAUCCGCGCCGCAUUAGCUAGUUGGUAAGGUAACGGCUUACCAAGGCAACGAUGCGUAGCCGACCUGAGAGGGUGAUCGGCCACACUGGAACUGUGACACGGUCCAGACUCCUACGGGAGGCAGCAGUAGGGAAUCUUCCGCAAUGGGCGAAAGCUUGACGGAGCAACGCCGCGUGAGUGAUGAAGGUCUUCGGAUCGUAAAACUCUGUUAUUAGGAAAGAACAAAUGUGUAAGUAACUAUGCACGUCUUGACGGUACCUAAUCAGAAAGCCACGGCUAACUACGUG
rnacentral:rRNA from 1 species